GAUGAAGAACGUAGCGAAAUGCGAUACUUGGUGUGAAUUGCAGAAACCCGUGAACCAUCGAGUCUUUGAACGCAAGUUGCGCCCGAAGCCAUCAGGUUGAGGGCACGUCUGCCUGGGCGUCACAUAUCGUUGCCCAAUGCCUAUUGCAGUGCAAUAGGAAUUUCUAGGGCGAAUGAUGGCUUCCCGUGAGCGUUGUUGCCUCGCGGUUGGUUGAAAAUCGAGUCCUUGGUAGGGUGUGCCAUGGUAGAUGGUGGUCGAGUUAGAACGAUACCGAUCAUGUGCAUGCUCCCCAAAAUAUGGCCUCUAUGACCCACACGCGUCUUUUGACGCUCAUGACGAGACCUCAGGUCAGGCGGGGCUACCCGCUGAAUUUAAGCAUAUCAAUAAGCGGAGGA
rnacentral:misc_RNA from 1 species